GACGUAGGGCGCGAGCGUUGUCCGGAUUUAUUGGGCGUAAAGAGCUCGUAGGCGGCUUGUCGCGUCGACUGUGAAAACCCGUGGCUCAACCAUGUGGUCUGCAGUCGAUACGGGCAGGCUAGAAUUCGGUAGGGGAGACUGGAAUUCCUGGUGUAGCGGUGAAAUGCGCAGAUAUCAGGAGGAACACCGGUGGCGAAGGCGGGUCUCUGGGCCGAUAUUGACGCUGAGGAGCGAAAGCGUGGGGAUCAAACAGG
rnacentral:rRNA from 1 species